AAUGAACGCUGGCGGCGCGCCUAAUACAUGCAAGUCGAGCGAGAAGACGUAGCAAUACGUUUGUAAAGCGGCGAACGGGUGAGGAAUACAUGGGUAACCUACCCUCGAGUGGGGAAUAACUAGCCGAAAGGUUAGCUAAUACCGCGUACGCUUCUUGGACUUCGGUUCAGGGAGGAAAGCGAUGCCGAGGGUAUCGCGCUCUUGGAUGGGCUCAUGUCCUAUCAGCUUGUUGGGAGGUAACGGCUCACCAAGGCUUCGACGGGUAGCUGGUCUGAGAGGACGAUCAGCCACACUGGCACUGCGACACGGGCCAGACUCCUACGGGAGGCAGCAGUAAGGAAUAUUGCGCAAUGGGCGAAAGCCUGACGCAGCGACGCCGCGUGGGGGAUGAAGGUCUUCGGAUUGUAAACCCC
rnacentral:rRNA from 1 species